CAAUGAUUUCAUAGCACCCUGAACACACCCAAUUUUAUAUGAAUUCAGAAGCUAAGCAGGGCCAGGCCUGGCUAGUACUUAGAUAGGAGAGCAUCAAGAAAUAUCUGAGA
rnacentral:rRNA from 1 species